CCUACGGGUGGCAGCAGUAGGGAAUCUUCCACAAUGGGCGAAAGUCUGAUGGAGCAACGCCGCGUGAGUGAAGCAGGUUUUCGGCUCGUAAAACUCUGUUGUUAGUGAAGAAAGAUAGAGGUAGUAACUGUCCUCUAUUUGACGGUAAUUACUUAGAAAGUCACGGCUAACUACGUGCCAGCAGCCGCGGUAAUACGUAGGUGGCAAGCGUUAUCCGGAUUUAUUGGGCGUAAAGCGAGUGCAGGCGGUCCAAUAAGUCUGAUGUGAAAGCCUUCGGCUUAACCGGAGAAGUGCAUUAGAAACUGUGGAACUUGAGUGCAGAAGAGGAGAGUGGAACUCCAUGUGUAGCGGUGGAAUGCGUAGAUAUAUGGAAGAACACCAGUGGCGAAGGCGGCUCUCUGGUCUGCAACUGACGCUGAGGCUCGAAAGCAUGGGUAGCGAACAGGAUUAGAUACCCCAGUAGUC
rnacentral:rRNA from 1 species